CAUUCCGCCCCACCCCGAAGAAACAACCAUCACUGUACGUAAAACAGGAAGCAAACGAGCCGUACAUGUUUACGAAGAAGGUGAAAACAACGCCGAGCCGUGGAAGAUAAAACGUUAUGGUCCACGAGAAGAGAAACGUCACAUCAAAAUCACAGCCUCUUAUGGUGGAUGCAUUUGAUUCGAUCUAAACGGAGAAGGUCUCUGUUGACAACAUGGGACAGCAUCUAGGUAAACACGAGCCACAGCCGCAGAGCAAGAGAAGAACGGAUUCUUAUUUGCAAUGACGACCUGUCGAACACAGCAGACAAGCACAGCAGAAAGUCUUUGACUAGUUUGUUUGCAGGUGGUUUGAAAUAAGUCUAUUAUUCAAGUUGGAUGCUUUGAGGAGCCUGAGGCGGGGGACUCGUGAGCAAUCCUACUUAAUCCUUUGUCAGCAGAAGCAGAACAGACCAUAGAACCAGCACCCAUUGGUGAGACCAUGGCAGAACCCGAAUCACAAGACGAGGUCUUUGGCCUGGAUGAGGCAGAUGUGAACCCGAACAAUGGCUGCCCCUCUGAGAAGGCGGCGGCGGUGACUGACUCCACGGGCACUGAGGGGCCCAGCAGCUCCUGGAACGAGGCCAGCACAGCUGAUGCUGACGAUAGCGCCGUGCCACGCCCCCACCUGGUCCGCCUCUUCUCCCGAGAUGCCCCGGGCCGCGAGGACAACACCUUCAAAGACCGCCCUUCUGAAUCAGAUGAGCUACAGACCAUCCAAGAGCACAGCGGAGCGGGAUCAGAGUGCGGUUCAGAGGAUCAGGAUCUAGACUAAGUUUGUUUCUUUGCUCUCCUUUCUCUCUCUUAAUACCCCCUCCGCUCUUACCUGAGAGACAGAACCCCACUUACAGAGAUACUAGCUGCACUACCCAACCCAAACCACUGACAUGGCAACUGCAAGCUCCUCUGGACUGUCUAGCCUGGGAAGGAAAAAGAAGGCCCCUGGCCUUAUGGAUCAAAUUGGGAACUUCUUUGGAGGGGACAAGAAGAGGAAGAGCAAGGGUUCCUUCCGUGGCCUGUCCUCCUCUCCUGCCAGACCUGCCAAGGCAGCCCCUAAGGGAGGGGAGAACGCUGUUGUACGCCUCUUCAGAACGAUCGUGUCCCCUGCCCCUCCUAAGUCUAGGUGGACGGCAAUGACUGCGAAACUAGGCCUGGGGUCUCAGAAGUCAACAGGAUCCGCUAAGGCAAAGAAGGCCGGUGCAGGAGACAGCGGAACCCUGUCCAAGAUCUUCAAAAUGUGAUGAUACCCAGCACUCAGGCACAAGCCGGACUGGGUCUCUACCCAAAAAAUGAGGUCCCCUUUCAAGAGCACAAAGGCAGAUGUCAAGAAAAGGAACGCAAGUGGGGGAAAACAAAGAAGAUACAAGAACAGAUCUUUGUCGACUCACACACCUCUUCUCCCUGCUUUUCUAACACUUUCAUUUUAUAACUCAAAUGCCUCCCCCACCGCACCCGGCUGGUAGAUAUAGCGACACAAUCUGUGCCUCCCCCCACCCCGCCCCUGCUCCACCCUCCUGUGCAACCAUCUUGGAUGUGAACUGUUGCUGAAGUCAUCCGGACCCCCUCUUACAGCCUAAAGGACCCCUGUCAUAGCUUUACAGUAUCUGUGUCUUCAUUUCUAUUUCUGUCUGUCUGUCUGUAUAGUCGUUUAACAAGGCUGGCUAACUGGACCAGACCUGGCUGAAGUAGCUUAGGUCCAAUUGACCUGGCCCUGACCGCUUGUGGUUGUGAAAGUAUGACCAGGUCUGGUUCUGGUUCAGAAACGAGUGAUUAUCUGUCUUGUCAUGCUCGUCUUUCAUAGCUAAGCAUCGUCUUACUCAGUUGGUCAUGUGUUUGUAUGUCUCCCCUCCUGUAUCAUCAGUGUAAGUGUCCUGUCUUAAGUGUUGCUGUCUUUCCAUGUUUUUACAUUAGGGUCUAUGGCUGGCUGUGAUCUUCGGUGGUAAAAUGACAUCGAGCUACUGAAAGCUGUUAACCUACUAAAAGUCUCUUGUCUGUAGUAUCCACUGAAUUGUAGACGUCAAUGGAUGAUAUCAUUUCUAAUGUUGUUUUCAUUUGAUUUCCAGUACAUGUAGAUUGAUUAAGACACUAAUGGGAGUUUCCCCAUCCAGACACAACUGGGAUUCGUCUAAAGUGCACUGUUUUGACCGUUGAAAAGCCAGACACUGACUGCUCUGAAACCAAGCUCACGCUGGAUUCAGACCUUUCCCCCAUUAUUGUAGUCUAGAUUCUGUAGUCUUCUGUCUUAAGUAUCUUUUGCUUUAUAUAUCUAUCAAAGCACUGCACACAAUACAAAAACAGCUAGCUAAGCAAUGCCAUUUCUGACUGCCAAAAACAAUGUGGUGUGUUUACUCUGUGUGGAUAUUAAAAGACCAACACUGUCAUAAAAGUGCUCGUUAUUUAACCAUGUAAAAGCAUAAACGUUUUUUUUUUUUUAAAGAUACAUGGAUAUAGAGGACGUGGAGUUUGUCGACCAAGGCACGAGCGACAAACUGCUUAUUACUGUCCAAUACCCCCCCCCACACCAGUGUCUUUCCUCAAGUUGUUUAAAAACAAACGUGUGUCAUCUGUAGCAUUACUCUGCCUGCCCCCGUCGCCCCUCCCCCAUGUCUUAAAGUGUGCGCGCGCUUUUGUAUGGGUCCUGUGAAUGAAUGUAAAUUAAACUCUUGAGACCCUCAUUGUUGUAUCUGUAAUAAAAAAAGAUGUGCGAUCAGCCACUUAACUAGAAGAAAUAAAUGAAGCUAUUAAAAAUCAUAAAACCGUUA